UUCCUGUGACAGAACAGUGAUAGUUUCUAAGUUCCUGUGACAGAACAGUGAUAGUUCCUAAGUUCCUGUGACAGAAUGGUGAUAGCUCCCAACUUCCUCUGACAGGAGGAGGACAGGAGCUACCUUCUGCCACCUGAACUUCAGGCCCUUCACACAGUGAGGACGGCAGCCCGAGGAAGCAGAGUGGAGGUGCGGAGCCCCAGGACGUGGCGGCGCACACCCCGGGAAGUUCUGCCAUCUGGGCUGCGUCCGGAUUCUGCAGCUCUUCAUGCGGAAAAACAGCAACCCUUCCAUUCUGAGUUUUAGAAGGACAGUCCAUGGCUCCAUGGCACUGCAGACCGAGAACGGCACCAAAGUCUUUGGCAGCUGGUGUAUCUACACUGAGGAUGGUCUGUCGUCACCACGCCUACCACAGCGCAGGAGAGCCCGGCCCCUGGGACCCCGCGCCUUGGUUUCCAUCUCAUCACGCACAUGAGAAAGAUGCGCCCCAAUUUUUCUCCUCGCCACAUUGAAUCACAAGACCACAGUUCCAUGAAAAUGCAAUUUGGAAAGCCACCAUGUACCAGAAAAAAAAGGUCCUCGAGGCCCUGUCCCUCCUCCGGGGACACAUGGCCAUUCCGGCUCCUCCCAGGCUGUCUGAUGCUUGCAGCUGUCCCUGACCUUCACACACUCGUCACUUUGGAGACCGGCCCCGGGAGUGGCCAGGGCCGGGCCUCACCCCUUGUCCACAGCAAGUACACCCUCAGGCCAAGAGCUGUGCAAACCCAGGCUGCUGGCCCCGGCUUGGCUUCCGAGACCGCAAGUCUCAGGGGGCAGCCCCGCUGAGGAGAUAAAGAGAAUAUUUUCCGUCCCCUCCCAGGCCCUGGGGCAUUUUGAACGUCCCUCCUGUGGGCAGGAGGGAACCGUGUGGUUAUCCUAACAGCCUGCUUGGUCCGCCGAGCCCAGCCCUGCGGUCUGUGGCCCAGCCUGCUGGUCAUGCUCCGGUUACUGCCCCUUGGUCACCAGGGACACUGCGCAGGAGACCGCAGAGAGAGGGACGGCUGAGGCGCAGAGGGAGCGAGGGACUCUUCAAUCUCGCCUGUCAGGGUCCCCUGAGCGAGCACUCUCGUGGAGUGCUGACCACGGAUGUGCGGGCCACCCGGUCCUUUCUCAU